AGCGUUUGAAGUAGAGAAUGUGCUGCUACACGCCCCUUGGGCCAAAAGAAAUGCGGGAAAGGGCACACCCGCCAAAUGCU
rnacentral:ncRNA from 1 species